CCUACGGGAGGCAGCAGUGAGGAAUAUUGGUCAAUGGGCGCGAGCCUGAACCAGCCAAGUAGCGUGAAGGAUGACUGCCCUCGGGGUUGUAAACUUCUUUUAUAAAGGAAUAAAGUGUGGCACGUGUGGCAUUUUGUAUCUACUUUAUGAAUAAGGAUCGGCUAACUCCGUGCCAGCAGCCGCGGUAAUACGGAGGAUCCGAGCGUUAUCCGGAUUUAUUGGGUUUAAAGGGAGCGUAGAUGGGUUGUUAAGUCAGUUGUGAAAGUUUGCGGCUCAACCGGAAAAUUGCAAUUGAUACUGGCAGUCUUGAGUACAGUAGAGGUAGGCGGAAUUCGUGGUGUAGCGGUGAAAUGCUUAGAUAUCACGAAGAACUCCGAUUGCGAAGGCAGCUUACUAGACUGCAACUGACAUUGAGGCUCGAAAGUGUGGGUAUCAAACAGGAUUAGAUACCCCAGUAGUC
rnacentral:rRNA from 1 species